AAGCACAAAGGGGACCCGAAGGUCCCCUUUAAUUUGUCGUUGCGUGCUCUUUUUUUAUUAUUGAGGGGCGGCCUAUUGUUGUUUUUGGUAGCCGUUACCCUUUACCGCUGUUUUUUGGCGACCCCCAUGCGGGGUCAAGAGCAAACGUAUUUUUUUGAGCGCUGAUCUGCUUCUUCGCGUGCGAUCCAACCAGUGGGUAGCUACCUGAUGGUAGUU
rnacentral:misc_RNA from 1 species